GACCCGCACAAGCGGUGGAGCAUGUGGUUUAAUUCGAAGCAACGCGAAGAACCUUACCAAAUCUUGACAUCCUCUGAUCCCUCUAGAGAUAGAGUUUUCCCCUUCGGGGGACAGAGUGACAGGUGGUGCAUGGUUGUCGUCAGCUCGUGUCGUGAGAUGUUGGGUUAAGUCCCGCAACGAGCGCAACCCUUAAGCUUAGUUGCCAUCAUUAAGUUGGGCACUCUAAGUUGACUGCCGGUGACAAACCGGAGGAAGGUGGGGAUGACGUCAAAUCAUCAUGCCCCUUAUGAUUUGGGCUACACACGUGCUACAAUGGACAAUACAAAGGGUAGCAAAACCGCGAGGUCAAGCAAAUCCCAUAAAGUUGUUCUCAGUUCGGAUUGUAGUCUGCAACUCGACUACAUGAAGCUGGAAUCGCUAGUAAUCGUAGAUCAGCAUGCUACGGUGAAUACGUUCCCGGGU
rnacentral:rRNA from 1 species